UACGUAGGGGGCUAGCGUUGUCCGGAUUUAUUGGGCGUAAAGAGCUCGUAGGCGGCUCGGUAAGUCGGGUGUGAAAACUCGGGGCUCAACCCCGAGACGCCACUCGAUACUGCCAUGGCUAGAGUCCGGUAGGGGAGCGUGGAAUUCCUGGUGUAGCGGUGAAAUGCGCAGAUAUCAGGAGGAACACCGGUGGCGAAGGCGGCGCUCUGGGCCGGAACUGACGCUGAGGAGCGAAAGCGUGGGAGCAAACAGG
rnacentral:rRNA from 1 species